ensembl:lncRNA ANKRD18DP ankyrin repeat domain 18D, pseudogene
AGCGCGGGCUUGGGAGCGGCUUCCGGAGUCCGCGCGGGCGCUGAGCUGCAGGCGCGCGCCUAACGGCUUCGCGGGCUGAGAGGUCAGAGGCUGCGAGUGUCGCUGCUGAAGGCUGUGGUGGACCCGGCCGGGUCGCGGAUUCUGAGCUACAUCUCGGGUUUGGGGUUAGGGUUAGUGGAAAGGCCACGAGGAGCCGCGGGGGCUCAGGAGCCGGUGGUGGGCGUCUGAGGAGAAGUCGCCCCAUGAGGAAGCUCUUCAGCUUCGGGAGACGCCCGGGCCGGGCGGUCCUGGGCUCCAUCGACCACGAGUACCCGGGUCCCGCGUACCACACCAGGGACGCGGAACUGCGGAAGAUCCACAGGGCGGCCCUCAAGGGCGACGCCGCGGAGGUGGAGCGCCGCCUGGCGCGCAGGUGCCGGGACGUGGAUGCCCAGGACAGGACUGUUCUACAUUUGGCCUGUGCCCACGGCCGUGUGCAAGUGGUCACUCUCUUGCUGAGCAGAAAAUGUCAGAUCGACAUCUGUGACAGACUAAACAGGACGCCUUUAAUGAAGGCUGUAUAUUGCCAGGAAGAGACGUGUUCCAUUAUUCUGCUGGAACAUGGCACCAGUCCAAACAUUAAGGACGUCUACAGCAACACUGCUCUUCAUGAUGGUAAACAUUGAGGAUGUCUACGGCAACACUGCUCUUCAUGAUGCUGUCUAUGAUAAGGGGACUUCACUGGCAGGAAGCCUGCUUUCCCACCAUGCAAAUACUGAAGCACUAAACAAGGUAUAGAUCAAUCAACUUUCUUUUCAAAAUAUUUGUUUUAACAUUGACAUAGGUAAGAGUCAAUUUUUCAUAUUUGGAUGAUCAGGCAUUCCUGAAUGAAAAUAUUUUGAAAUAGCUUAAUUGUCUCAGGUUUUACUUUAAAUAUUGAUACUUUUAAAGAAGCAUUAGAGGGCACAGCUUGUUUAGUGCACUUAUGGGAAGUAUUUGUGAAUUUGUUAAGGUAAAACUUCUUCAAGUAUUUGUUUCCUACCCCAGGUGUAUUUUUUUUUCUAAUUACGUAAAACACACACACACACACACACACACACACACACACACACACACACACACGCAGACACAGGAAAAGAAUUUACCCUGGAAAUAGGCUUUAUCUUAAAACUCAAAACAAAACUGAAGCAACUUGCAAUAAAUGGAAAUCUUGCUGCUGCUGACAGUUUUCUCAAAAAAAAAAAAAAACUGAUGUGCCUUUCAGUGGCAAAGUUUAAGAGGGAAAAA